ACUCUCGCAACGGAUAUCUCGGCUCUCGCAUCGAUGAAGAACGUAGCGAAAUGCGAUACCUGGUGUGAAUUGCAGAAUCCCGCGAACCAUCGAGUCUUUGAACGCAAGUUGCGCCCGAGGCCACUGGCCGAGGGCACCGCUGCCUGGCCGUCACGCCAAAAACACGCUCCCAACCACCCUCAUCGGGAAUCGGGACGGCAUCUGGUCCCUCGUCUCGCAAGGGGCGGUGGACGAGAAGAUCGGGCUGCCGGUGUACCGCGCCGGACACAGCGCAUGGUGGGCGUCCUCGCUUUAUCAACGCAGUGCAUCCGACGCGCAGCCGACAUAUAUGGCCUCAGAACGACCCAGCAAACGAAGGCACGUUGCUUCGACCGCGACCCAGGUCAGGCGGGACUACCCGCUGAGUUUAAGCAUAUAAAUAAGCGGAGGAGAAGAAACUUACAAGGAUUCCCUAGUAACGGCGAGCGAACCGGGAGCAGCCCAGCUUGAGAAUCGGGCGGCUGUGCCUCCGAAUUGUAGUCUGGAGAGGCGUCCUCAGCGACGGACCGGGCCCAAGCCCCUGGAAAGGGCGGCCUGGGAGGGUGAGAGCCCGCGUCCGGCCGGCGACCUGUCGCCCCACGAGGCGCCGCACAGAGUCGGGUUUUUUUGGGAAUGCAGCCCAAAUCGGGCGUAGACUCCGUCCAAGGCUAAAUACAGGCGAGAGACCGAUAGCGAACAAGUACCGCGAGGGAAAGAUGAAAAGGACUUUGAAAAGAGAGUCAAAGAGUGCUUGAAAUUGCCGGAGGGAAGCGGAUGGGGGCCGGCGAUGCGCCGGGCCGUAUGCGGAACGGCUCUUGCUGCCGGCUCGGCUCGGGGUGUGGACUGUUGUCGCCGCCGGCGGCCAAGCCGGGGCGCCUUAGGUGCCCCCGGUGGCCGUCGUCGCACGGCCGGUACCCGCGCGCGAAAGGCGUGUCCCUCGGGGCACUGCGCUGCAACGGCCUGCGGGCUCCCAUCCGACCGUCUUGAAACACGGACCAAGGAGUCUGACAUGCGUGCGAGUCGACGGGUUCUGAAACCUGGGAUGCGCAAGGAAGCUGACGAGCGGAGGCCCUCACGGGCCGCACCGCUGGCCGACCCUGAUCUUCUGUGAAGGGUUCGAGUUGGAGCACGCCUGUCGGCGACCGAAAGAUGGUGAACUAUGCCUGAGCGGGGCGAAGCCAGAGGAAACUCUGGUGGAGGCUCGAAGCGAUACUGACGUGCAAAUCGUUCGUCUGACUUGGGUAUAGGGGCGAAAGACUAAUCGAACCAUCUAGUAGCUGGUUCCUCCGAAGUUUCCCUCAGGAUAGCUGGAGCCCAUUACGAGUUCUAUCAGGUAAAGCCAAUGAUUAGAGGCAUUGGGAGCAACGUCCUCGACCUAUUCUCAAACUUUAAAUAGGUAGGAUGGGCGGCUGCUUCGGUGAGCCGUGCCCCGGAAUCGGGUGCUCCAAGUGGGCCAUUUUUGGUAAGCAAGAACUGGCGAUGCGGGAUGAACCGGAAGCCGGGUUACGGUGCCCAACUGCGCGCUAACAAAAACCCACAAAGGGUGUUGGUCGAUUAAGACAGCAGGACGGUGGUCAUGGAAGUCGAAAUCCGCUAAGGAGUGUGUAACAACUCACCUGCCGAAUCAACUAGCCCCGAAAAUGGAUGGCGCUGAAGCGCGCGACCCACACCCGGCCAUCUGGGCGAGCGCCAUGCCCGAUGAGUAGGAGGGCGCGGCGGCCGCUGCAAAACCCGGGGCGGAGCCCGGGGAGCGGCCGUCGGUGCAGAUCUUGGUGGUAGUAGCAAAUAUUCAAAUGAGAACUUUGAAGGCCGAAGAGGAGAAAGGUUCCAUGUGAACGGCACCACAUGGGUAAGCCGAUCCUAAGGGACGGGGUAACCCGGCAGAUAGGCGCGAUCACGCGCAUCCCCCGAAAGGGAAUCGGGUUAAGAUUUCCCGAGCCGGGAUGUGGCGGUUGACGGCGACGUUAGGAAGUCCGGAGAGCCCGGCGGGGGCCUCGGAAGAGUUAUCUUUUCUGCUUAACGGCCUGCCAAGCUAAUGGAAAACAUGGCAAAACCACAUACGAGGCUCACACACGUACACGGACCCGUGAACGGGCUGGACGUGGACACGGGAAAAAACUGGCCGACGCCCGUCAUGGACGGAACCGGACGCGCGCCAUGGAAAACAGGGCAAAACCACGUACGAGGCACACGCACGUACACGAAAAGGUGAACGGGUACGAGAGGUCCGGGAGAAAAAAGGCCCAUACGCCAUGGAAACCGGGUCGAAAGUAGCUAAUGAUGGUCAGGAAACGGUGCCAUGGCAGCGAAAACAUGUCUCAUGGCAGAAAAAUGCUGCCACGGCAGCGUUUCAAAACAGUGUACCCCUCCUUAACAAACUGAAGGGUAGGGUCCCAAUGAGGGCUAAAACCCUCGGGUAUAGUAGGGAGGAGGGGUCCUUCCUGGUGGGCAUACAGAACACGGGCGGUUUUUCUUAGGAAAAACAACCAUGUUCUCGUACGCCCAUCCUUUCCCAAUGUUUCCUCGGAUGUCCCAUCGUUAUGCCAUCACGAAGGUGCUGGCCCGGUCCCGUGUACUACUCGUGAGAAAUCCUGACCCUACAGCCGAAUGUGGCUCGGGAAAUAGGAAAGUACCCCGUUACCUACACGAUCCGACCGCCGGUAAACAGUCGCAACGGUGUCCCUCGAAUGUCGCCUCCGGAAAACCGUUGCCCCUCGGGGGCAACGUCAUCGCUGUCCUAGUCCCCUGUACGUCUCAAGUAAAAUUCAGACCCAACAGCCAAAUGCAGCUCGGGAAAGAGGAAAGUAGCCCGUUUCAUGCA
rnacentral:rRNA from 1 species